rnacentral:rRNA from 1 species
CACGUGGGCAAUCUGCCCCUCGCUCUGGGAGUAACUCCGGGAAACCGGGGACGUAAUACCGGAUACGACUCUCUUGGGCAUCUUUGAGAGUGGAAAGUUUUUCGGUCGAGGGAUGAGCCCGCGGCCUAUCAGCUUGUUGGUGGGGUAAGUGGCCUACCAAGGCAGUGACGGGUAGCCGGCCUGAGAGGGCGACCGGCCACACUGGGACUGAGACACGGCCCAGACUCCUACGGGAGGCAGCAGUGGGGAAUAUUGCGCAAUGGGCGAAAGCCUGACGCAGCGACGCCGCGUGAGGGAUGA